GCCGGUUUGGCUCGGUGGAUAGAGUGUUGGCCUGCGGACUCAAGGGUCACAGGUUCAAUUCCCGUCAAGGGCA
rfam:Myotis brandtii contig156378, whole genome shotgun sequence.